rnacentral:tRNA from 1 species
GCACCUAUCGUCUAAGCGGUUAGGACAUGAGACUUUCAAUCUCAAAAUCGGAGUUCGAACCUCCGUAGGUGUACCA